rnacentral:lncRNA from 1 species
AACCCCUUGUUCAUCGUCUCCCUCAGAGACCAAACACCCCUCACCAAACCCUAGCCGCCAUGGCACCCCAUCGCCUGAAACCUGGCGGCAACGAUGUCGUUGGACACCAAAUUAACACCAUAGAUCCCCCUAAACACCCUAAAUCCAAAUAUGGCAUUAGUUUUCCUCGAAUCAAGCCCCAUCUCCUCGAAUCUUCAAUUGAAGAUUCCUGAAACCCGGCGGCAACGACGCCGUUGGACACCAAAUUAACACCAUAGAUCCCCCUUAGCACCCUGAAUCCAAAUAUGGCAUUAGUUUGCCUCGAAUCAAGCCCCUUCUCCUCGAAUAUUCAAUUGAAGAUUCGAGCCAAACUGAAAUGGAACCAAAACCAUCCCAAAAUCAUACCAGGCAACCCCCAGACCUCCCUCAUACCAUAAAUCACGAUGGUUCUGUACGACUCUGCUCAGAAACAUUCAAGACCCAAAUCUAAUGAAAGAAUCCUAGAAUAUCAAAGAAUGGUUUCUGUCAAAAAUUGAGGGGAAUUUGGGGUCCAAACCGACCUUAGUCAAGUGUUCUCAAUCGAGAACACCUGAUUAAAGUCCGUUUGACUUCAAAAGUUUGAGUCUUAGAUUGAUCAAGUCCGUCUGAUUUCUUUAAGGUAUUUUUCCUUUCUUUCGUCUGUUCUAUUUUGUUAUUUGUUAUUUGUUAUUUUUUUAGGUCAUCGUAUUAAUUUUUGUUCAUUUUUUGUUUGUUCAAUAAUUCUUCUACUCCAAUAGACCUUUUUAUUUGGUUCAGAAAAUUUUAAUCGUUGUAAUUAUAUGUUAUAUGACAAGAGGGGUUGCUCUUAUGGUAAGCAACCCCACUUUCAACCGAGAGGUUGUGAGUUCGAGUCUCCCUAAGAGCAAGGUGGGAAGGUGGGAAGUUCUAGGAGGGAAGGAUGCCGGGGGUCUAUUUGGAAACAACCUCUCUACCCAAGGGUAGGGGUAAGGUCUGCGUACUCACUACCCUCCCCAGACCCCACUAAGUGGGAUUAUACUGGAUUGUUGUUGUUGUUGUUGUAAUUAUAUGUUAUGAAUUAGGUAAUCAUUUGUUUGAACAUUUUCGUCAAUCAGUUAAGUUGUAUUAUAACUCCCCGCUUCUGGUAAAUGCCACUCGAAUCACCUGUGGUCUGUUCUGAUUGCUUGUUGUUAAUAGUUGUAUAUUAUGGCUUGCGUAAUCGAUUAUUUAAGUGUUAUCAAUUAGUUUUUUAGGUUUGAAUGGUUCAAGCCCCGACAGCAGUAAUAGAACUUGUGUGAAUUGUGUAUUUGCAGUAUGAUUUGUUCAAAUUUAGAUUUAAUUUAGAAAUGUUUCAG